AUGGUGUUUGGUUAUCCCAUUAAUACAUUAUUUGCCUUUACUACAAGGAGGAGGCCCCAGGGAGAGUGCGCAGCUUAGCGGACAGGGGCACGUGUAUGAGUGUGGGAUGGAUGAUGCAUGAUUGUCUAUAUGCUACAUGUGGGAGUGUGAGAUGUGAGGAAGUGGGUGGUGACAGAUCAGACUGAUCUCAGUGCCACUUAGGAGCCGGG